rnacentral:rRNA from 1 species
GGAAGUAAAAGUCGUAACAAGGUUUCCGUAGGUGAACCUGCGGAAGGAUCAUUAAAGAAUUGGCCUUUAUGGCCUUAUUCAAUCCCACACCUUUGUGAACUGUCUUGGUUACUUUGGCGGGGUCGCAAUCUAUAUGCGCCCGAUUCAGGGACUCCCCGCCAAGGUCUUUUGCAAACUUAUGUUUAAAAAGUUAGAAAGUAUAUAUUCAAUCUAUACAACUUUUAGCAACGGAUCUCUUGGCUCUCGCAUCGAUGAAGAACGCAGCGAAAUGCGAUACGUAGUGUGAAUUGCAGAAUCCAGUGAACCAUCGAAUCUUUGAACGCAUAUUGCACCUAUUGGUAUUCCGAUAGGUAUGCCUAUUUGAGUGUUAUGAAAUUCUCAUCCAAAAUCCUUUUUUGGAUGGUACUGAGUUUGCGUUGGCUGGCUCAAAAUCAAUGGGGUGACUUUAGACCAGUUUAACGUUAUAUUUAUUCUCGAUAAGCUGGUUUAGUGUGGUUUCCCUUGAACAUUAUUUCAAUCUUAGCCUCAAAUUAGGUAGGAGUACCCGCUGAACUUAAGCAUAUCAAUAAGCGGAGGAAAAGAAAAUAACAAUGAUUCCCUUAGUAACGGCGAGUGAAGUGGGAAGAGCUCAAAUUUGAAAUCUGGCACCUUUGGUGUCCGAGUUGUAAUUUCUAGAGGUGUUUUCAGUACUUAGCUUGGUAUAAAUCCUUUGGAACAGGGUAUCAUAGAGGGUGAGAAUCCCGUCUUUGACCUUGUCUAAGUGCUAUGUGAUACACCCUCAAAGAGUCGAGUUGUUUGGGAAUGCAGCUCUAAAUGGGUGGUAAAUUCCAUCUAAAGCUAAAUACAGGCGAGAGACCGAUAGCGAACAAGUACCGUGAGGGAAAGAUGAAAAGAACUUUGAAAAGAGAGUGAAAAAGUACGUGAAAUUGCUAAAAGGGAAGCAAAAGAGACCAGUCUUACUAGUCACUAAUCAGCCUUACUUUUGUAUGGUGCACUUGGUGAUUAGUAGGCCAACAUCAGUUUUCUUUAUUAGAUAAUGGUUACAGGAAUGUAGCUCCUUGUGAGUGUUAUAGCCUGUGGCUUGAUAUAAUAGAGGGGACUGAGGACUGCAGCGUGCUGUAUAGCGGCCUUUGGCCUUCACGCUAAGGAUGUUGGCAUAAUGGUCUUUUUUGACCCGUCUUGAAACACGGACCAAGGAGUCUAACAUAUUUGCGAGUGUUUGGGUGGCAAACCCGAACGCGUAAUGAAAGUGAAUGCAGGUGGGAACCUUUUGGUGCACCAUCGACCGAUCUUGAACUUCUGGGAUAGAUUUGAGUAGGAGCAAAUAUGCUGGGACCCGAAAGAUGGUGAACUAUGCCUGAAUAGGGCGAAGCCAGAGGAAACUYUGGUGGAGGCUCGUAGCGAUUYUGACGUGCAAAUCGAUCGUCAAAUUUGGGUAUAGGGGCGAAAGACUAAUCGAACCAUCUAGUAGCUGGUUCCUGCCGAAGUUUCCCUCAGGAUAGCAGAGACUCAAUAUUAGUUUUAUGAGGUAAAGCGAAUGAUUAGAGGCCUUGGGGCUGAAACAGCCUUAACCU